GGAGCAUCUCUUACAGCCUGCCUUCCUCACCACAGGCCUUCGUCUUGGUGCCAGCACCUACAGCACUCUUUCAGAACCCCACCAACUCUGCAGCCAGGGAAUCAGGGAGUCAUAGAUCAAUAUCUUACUCAGCCUUCAUGAGAGAAGCUUCCUCCUGCAGUAGAUGGGAACAAAUACAGAGAGACCCACAGCUGGACAAUGUGCAGAGAAUGAGAGACCUGGGAAUUCUCAGUUCUGAAUGGGAUGUCUCCAUCACUUCCCCACUCAGGGCUCAGGAAAUACUUUGGAAGGACACAAAAAAGGCAGAAAGCCAUUUUCACUGCCAAACAUCCUCUGUGUCUAGAAAUCUCCCCUGGCAGUCAAGACAGUGGGUUUCCACAUCUGAUCUUCAUACAUCCCACCUUGGAAACUGUGGAAGCAGCUGCCAGCACUAUGCCUGAUACAGACCAAGCUUUUAAAAAAUGAAAGGAUAAGAAGUCCAUUGAGAAAUGCAUCUAUUAAUAUUUGGAGAGGUAUAAUUUGAAGAAAAAAAGCAAACAACUUGCUUAAUUAUGCAGUAUAUUCUUUAAUAUCAUAUUCUUUCUCCUCACCAAACUCCAGAUUCCCUAAUCCCACCCCACCUCAGAUCAUGUUUAUCAAAAAAUAAAUAAAUAAAACAACUCAUAAACACACAUACAAUAACAACAGCAACAACAACAGAGUUCCUUUUCUGUUGGCCAACUGACUAUUCUUGCAUGUGUGGCCUGCCCUGCGUGUGUCUUAGUCUCCUAGCAGCUGUCAAUUGGAAACACCUUCUUGGUUAGGGGGUUGGGCAGUGUUCUCAAGACCUGCAGAAGUUCAAAGUAUAUGAAAUCUCAGCUGGGAGAAGCAAG